UACGUAGGGCGCAAGCGUUUAUCCGGAAUUACUGGGCGUAAAGGGCUCGUAGGCGGCCAACUAAGUCAGACGUGAAAUCCCUCAGCUUAACUGGGGAACUGCGUCUGAUACUGGAUGGCUUGGAUCCGGGAGAGGGAUGCGGAAUUCCAGGUGUAGCGGUGAAAUGCGUAGAUAUCUGGAGGAACACCGGUGGCGAAGGCGGCAUCCUGGACCGGUAUUGACGCUGAGGAGCGAAAGCCAGGGGAGCAAAGCGGG
rnacentral:rRNA from 1 species